rnacentral:rRNA from 1 species
AGAGUUUGAUCAUGGCUCAGGAUAAACGCUGGCGGCGCACAUAAGACAUGCAAGUCGAACGAACUUAACUCAUUCUUUUAGUUUGAGAGCGGUUAGUGGCGGACUGGUGAGUAACACGUAAGCAACCUGCCUAUUAGAGGGGAAUAACAGUGAGACAUCAUUGCUAAUACCGCAUAUGCUAACAGUAUCGCAUGAUACAGUUAGGAAAGGAGUAAUCCGCUAAUAGAUGGGCUUGCGCCUGAUUAGCUAGUUGGUGGGGCAAUGGCCUACCAAGGCGACGAUCAGUAGCCGGACUGAGAGGUUGAACGGCCACAUUGGGACUGAGAUACGGCCCAGACUCCUACGGGAGGCAGCAGUCGGGAAUAUUGCGCAAUGGAGGAAACUCUGACGCAGUGACGCCGCGUAUAGGAAGAAGGUUUUCGGAUUGUAAACUAUUGUCGUUAGGGAAGAUACAAGACAGUACCUAAGGAGGAAGCCCCGGCUAACUAUGUGCCAGCAGCCGCGGUAAUACAUAGGGGGCAAGCGUUAUCCGGAAUUAUUGGGUGUAAAGGGUGCGUAGACGGAGGAGCAAGUUGGUUGUGAAAUCCCUCGGCUUAACUGAGGAACUGCAACCAAAACUACUUCCCUUGAGUGUCGGAGAGGAAAGUGGAAUUCCUAGUGUAGCGGUGAAAUGCGUAGAUAUUAGGAGGAACACCAGUGGCGAAGGCGACUUUCUGGACGAUAACUGACGUUGAGGCACGAAAGUGUGGGGAGCAAACAGGAUUAGAUACCCUGGUAGUCCACACCGUAAACGAUGGAUA